rnacentral:lncRNA from 1 species
GUUUUAGACUGCAAGGGAAAAUUGGUGAAUGGAGUUAGCAUAGAGGGCAGCUGCCUGGCUAUAGUUUGGGAUUUCUUCUGAGCUGAAGCAGAAGGAAAGAUUUAGCAACUGUUUGUCGUGGCAGAAAAUCAUCUCUGAUCGUUUGUGGGGCAGAGGAUUGGAGUCAAGAAGAUAUAGACAAUUUCAAACGAGAAAUCCUGACCUGUGUUGUGUGGAGCUGUGUUUGCUUGAUGAACCUGUUAUAACUCCAUCCACCUUCACUCCAAGUGAAUGGAGAUCGUUUGGCGAAUUGAAUCAGGUCCUCAAGUUUCAUCGCCAUUGACUACUGAAGAAAAGAUAGCCUAAAAGGGUUAAGAAUCCCAGCAAGACACAACAUAGAUGGGCUGAAAACUCGUGGCAGGAUGGAAGGGUAUAAAGACGCCGGGGAAGUGGCUGGGGAAUAAUAAAAUAAGAGGGAAGCUAAACCAGUGACCCUUGUCGGCAGUGAAAAGCGGGAGAUUAGAAAAUGUUUCAUGCUAAUUUCCAUGGAGAUUUCUUUAAUUUAGCGAAGACUGCUUCCCGGGCUCCGCCUGGCCCGCGCCGGCCCGCGUCCUCG